AUUGAACGCUGGUGGCAGGCCUAACACAUGCAAGUCGAACGAGUGGCGGACGGGUGAGUAAUGUCUGGGAACCUGCCCGAUGGAGGGGGAUAACUACUGGAAACGGUAGCUAAUACCGCAUACCAUCGGAUGUGCCCAGAUGGGAUUAGCUAGUAGGUGGGGUAACGGCUCACCUAGGCGACGAUCCCUAGCUGGUCUGCGAGGAUGACCGGCCACUCUGGAACUGAGACACGGUCCAGACUCCUACGGGAGGCAGCAGUGGGGAAUAUUGCACAAUGGGCGCAAGCCUGAUGCAGCCAUGCCGCGUGUAUGAAGAAGGCCUUCGGGUUGUAAGUACUUUCAGCGAGUAGGCGGUACUCGAAGAAGAAGCACCGGCUAACUCCGUGCCAGCAGCCGCGGUAAUUG
rnacentral:rRNA from 1 species